rnacentral:lncRNA from 1 species
AAUCCCCGUGGACCAAAUCAACUGCCAAUUUGGAUAUCAUCGAGGCACCUGAAACCUUAUCAUGAGCCUGAUGCUGAGGAAUAGAUUCUGGGAGGAUCCCGAGGAUCCCCUGGUUGCAGCCAUGUUGAGACUGACGCUGAGGGGGACCCCAACUGUCACGAGCAACACCCAUCGAACGCAGCCACCUACCUGGGGACAGAUCAAGAAGCUGUCACAGAUGGCAGAAGAAAACCUAAGAUUGGAGAGGAUGAAGGCCCUGAGGUCCAAGAACAUGGAAACCUGACAGUGGACGCCAACAGCUGUGGAGAGAAGCCGGGCGACAGCUGUGGAGAGAAGCCGGGCGAUAUGCUCACGCUUCCGUGUGCCCAGCAAUCCUGCUUUAUCUUUUUAAAUAAAGGUGAUUCCUGAUAACA